GAAGUGCCUUUACGUGUCACAAAAAGUACACUUGAGCUUUCUCUUGCUUUGCGUUUCUUUCUUCUCCUUUCUUUUCUUUUCCUCUUUCCAUUUUCAAUUCCUCUGUUCUAAACAAUAACAUAUAAACUAAACACUCUAAUCCAUUUUAUACCUUUCUCUUGUUGUACUUCCAAGUUGAUUUUCGCUCACAGAUGAUUGAAUGUUCCAAGCCAUGAAAGAAAGUAAGAGCAUCCUUGUUGCAGUUUGCUUCUUCCAAAAGCUUGGCGUCCAGACUGGAUGCAGGUUAGUUGCAGUUACUAGAUGGAUGACAAUAUUCAGCACUAACUUCUGCACUUUCUUCCUGGCAGAUGUUAGAGUCUUUGUAUUAUUUAUUUCAUUGUCAGUCUAUGUUGUAAUAGGUAGCUCUUGUACAUGUCUGGUCAAGUCUUGGGAUAGUGAAGGACAUUUGUAAGAAGUAUUUGUAAAAAGUUUGUUUAUUAGUAUUUAAUUUACUUUAUAUUUCCUUAAAAACAAAA